UACGUAGGGCGCAAGCGUUAUCCGGAAUUAUUGGGCGUAAAGAGCUCGUAGGCGGUUUGUCGCGUCUGCUGUGAAAGCCCGGGGCUCACCUCCGGAAGUGCGCUUGAAACUGGUCGGCUAGAGUACGGGAGAGGGAAGCGGAAUUCCUGGUGUAGCGGUGAAAUGCGUAGAUAUCAGGAGGAACACCGGCGGCGAAGGCGGCUUCCUGGACCGAUACUGACGCUGAGACGCGAAAGCGUGGGGAGCAAACAGG
rnacentral:rRNA from 1 species